GGGGGAAUUUUCCACAAUGGGCGAAAGCCUGAUGGAGCAACGCCGCGUGUGUGAUGAAGGUUUUCGGAUCGUAAAGCACUUUCGACCGGGACGAAAAACCUCUGGCUAACAUCCAGGGGCCUGACGGUACCGGGAGAAGAAGCACCGGCUAACUCUGUGCCAGCAGCCGCGGUAAUACAGAGGGUGCAAGCGUUGUUCGGAAUUAUUGGGCGUAAAGCGCGUGUAGGCGGCUUUGCAAGUCAGAUGUGAAAGCCCUCGGCUUAACCGAGGAAGUGCGUCUGAAACUGCAGAGCUUGAGUGUCGGAGAGGAUGGCGGGAUUCCGCAAGUAGAGGUGAAAUUCGUAGAUAUGCGGAGGAACACCGGUGGCGAAGGCGGCCAUCUGGACGACUACUGACGCUGAGACGCGAAAGCGUGGGGAGCAAACAGGAUUAGAUAUCCUGGUAGUCCACGCUGUAAACGAUGAGAACUAGGUGUCGUGGGUGUUGACCCCCGCGGUGCCGCAGCUAACGCAUUAAGUUCUCCGCCUGGGAAGUACGGCCGCAAGGCUA
rnacentral:rRNA from 1 species